GGCCCCCACCACUUCCCAAUAAUCUACCAUCUGAUACGAAAACUAAUCCUCUCAUCAAUUAUUUAGUAUUAUCGAUCCCCUCUAAAAAUCCAUUGUGUCUAAUUGACCCCUUGAAUACAAAAUAUAGGUUUCGCAAUUAUGGGGGAUCCACAUAUAUCCUCUGCCUAAAUAUCCACAUUUUGAAUUACUAACGAGCAUUUAAACGCGAAGCCGACCAGUACAGGUCCAUCGCUAAACGCCACCCUUAUGAAUGGGCUUUAUUUCCUGGCCCACGCAAAGAUGGCCGAUCAGACGAAAGAGAAGAUGCAAGAUUGCGUCGCCGAAUUCAUUAGAUUCAUGCGAGAUGCUUGCCGCUCUGAUGGACGGUCGUCACCAUCGCCACCACCAGCAUCGUCGUCGAACCAUUUAUUAGGCAAGAGAAACACAGAAAAUAAGUGCAAAUUGACUAGAUUAAAUCGGCCAUAUAUACUUGUUUGCAUUCUUUUGUUCUUUGCAAGUGAUUGAGUGUAAUAAAAAUGUGAGGUUCUCGUGGUUUUUACAGUUUUUAUUGGAUUAUGAAAAAAGACCAAUAAUUUCAUUACCGAUACAAAAAAAUGCUAGAAUGUAUUUUUAUAUACAUAUUAUUGUAUAAUAGAUUGUAAACACUGGUGAUGGAUUGCAAAUUUGUAAUAAGAUUUUUAUGGAAAUAGAGAAUUUAAUAUGAUUUGAU
rnacentral:lncRNA from 1 species